GAGGACAUUGGGGCACAGAAAAUCUAUCUGCAUGUCUCAGUUAAGCUCUACGGUGCAAGUAGUUCUACCAGAACUGCCCAAGCAUGGUCGGGUAAGAAGACAGAAUUCUUGGAAACAUUGUGAUAUCUUCCUGACAGCAAGGUAGAGAGAAUGCGGGAGAAGGACAAGGCCUUCAGAGCCAUGCUCACCACACCAGAGGUGGCCAGAAUUCCAUCAGGAACACUGAAAAUAUAUUACUCUGAGGAUAGACUAAUCAAGGAAAUCCAUGUGGAAAACUCUUACCAGAGCAGAAGCUCUGUUGAAA